rnacentral:rRNA from 1 species
UAGGGAAUCUUCGGCAAUGGACGAAAGUCUGACCGAGCAACGCCGCGUGAGUGAAGAAGGUUUUCGGAUCGUAAAACUCUGUUGUUAGAGAAGAACAAGGACGUUAGUAACUGAACGUCCCCUGACGGUAUCUAACCAGAAAGCCACGGCUAACUACGUGCCAGCAGCCGCGGUAAUACGUAGGUGGCAAGCGUUGUCCGGAUUUAUUGGGCGUAAAGCGAGCGCAGGCGGUUUCUUAAGUCUGAUGUGAAAGCCCCCGGCUCAACCGGGGAGGGUCAUUGGAAACUGGGAGACUUGAGUGCAGAAGAGGAGAGUGGAAUUCCAUGUGUAGCGGUGAAAUGCGUAGAUAUAUGGGGGAACACCAGUGGCAAAGGCGGCUCUCUGGUCUGUAACUGACGCUGAGGCUCGAAAGCGUGGGGAGCAAACAGG